GACGUAUUUUUUUUUGUCAUGGCGGCAGAAGGCUCGGAUUCAGAAGACCUGAACACCAACGGGCUAAUGGAGGCUCCUUCAGCUCUGGAAGCCAUGGAGGCUGUCCAACUUCCAACAGAGAAGGAAGAGGCAUCAGAGGAGAAUGGUGGAGGAGGAGCCUCUGAGGCUCCAGAAGCAGCAGCUGCGACAUCAUACAACAUGCCUCUGGCAGAGAAUGAGGAGGAAGAAGACGGAGAGUUCCCUGCGGACUUUGACCGACUCUGGAAGCUGGCCCAUGACAAUCCACAGGACUUCUCUAGCUGGACUGACCUACUGCAGUACUGUGAGCAAGAGAGUCACAUGACAGCGUCACGUCGGGCGCUGGUAGCCUUUCUGGCACGGUACCCACUGUGCUACGGAUACUGGAAGAAGUUUGCCGACCUGGAGCGACGUGCUGGCUACACCAACAAAGCUCAGGAGGUGUGUGUUCAGGGUCUGAAGGCCAUUCCCCUGAGUGUAGAUCUGUGGAUCCACUACAUUAACCUGCUACUGGGCACGCUCAACAUGAACCUGCCAGAGUCCUCUCAGCGCAUUCGCAGUGCAUUUGAGGAGGCGGUGACGGCAGCAGGACUGGACUUCCACUCUGACCGUCUGUGGGAGCUGUACAUCGAGUGGGAGAAGGAGCAGGGAGACAUGAAGGCUGCCACUGGAGUCUACGACAGAGUCCUCAGAGUCCCCACUCAGCUGUACAGCAGCCACUAUGAGAAAUUCAAGACUCAUCUUAAUGCCCAUGCGCCCAAGGACGUCCUCUCAGCAGUGGAGUAUGAGGGGUUGCUUGAGGAAUCUAAACAGAGCCACAAGACUGAGAAGUCUGAGUUGGCUGAGGGGGAAGAGGAGUUACCACCUGGGGAAGAGAAGGAACCUACAGAGGAAGAACUGAUUCCGAAAAUGCGAGAGCUCCUAUUGGCUCGCAGAGAGAAGGUGUACCAAGACCUGGAGGGAGAGGUCAGGAAGAGGUGGAACUUUGAGGAAGCUAUCAAGCGUCCAUAUUUCCACGUGAAGCCUCUGGACCGGACCCAGCUGAGGGCCUGGCACUCCUACCUGGACUGGGAGCUCACCGAGCUGGGGGGUGAAAAGGAGGUGAAGACCGAGUCCGAACCAGAGGCCAUGGAGGGCCAGGAAGAGGAGCAAAAGGAGGAAAAGGAGGGGUCAAAGAGCAGUGAGAUCGUUGCCGGGGGAGACCGGAGGGUACGGAUCCUGUUUGAGCGCUGUCUGAUUGCCUGCGCUCUCUACGAGGAGUUCUGGACCAAGUAUGUUCAGUACCUGGAACCUCAGAGUCUGGACGAGGCGCGGGGAGUGUUUCGGCGAGCCUGUGAGAUCCACCUGGCCCACAAACACACCAUGCACCUGCAGUGGGCCACCUUCGAGGAGAGGCAUGGUGACCUAACAGAGGCACGGCGAGUGUUGGAGGCUCUGGAAACCUCAGUGCCGGGAUUGGCCAUGGUCCGGCUGCGCAGGGCGGGGCUAGAGAGACGGGCGGGCCGGCUAGAUGAAUCAGAAGCUCUGCUCAGGGACGCGGUGGCCCAGGCCAAAGAGACACCUCACCUCCAUGCGUUCUACUCCAUCAAACUGGCCCGGCUGCUGCAGAAGCUCUGCAAGAACCCCAGCAAGGCCCGGGGAGUCCUGCAGGAGGCGCUGGAGAUUAGCCCGGAUGACGGUAAGCUGCACCUGAACCUGCUGGAGCUGGAGGUGUCCGGUGACCCCAGAGGGUCGGCCGAGGGGGUGCAGCAGUGUGUGACGCGGGCGCUGGCCGCACCCCUCUCCCCACAGACCAAGAUCCUCUUCUCCCAGAGGGGCCUGCAGUACGCUGAGGACUAUGGGACCUCUGUGCAAAGUGUGCUAACAGUCUAUGAGGAGCAUCAGAAGCUACUGAAAGAGCUCGGCAACAAGAAGAGAGUGGCUGAGAACGGAGACAGUGAGGACCCAGAGAAGAUGAGUAAAGGAGAAGAUGUAUCUGCUGUGCCCGCUCCACCACAGGCCCCUCCCACAAUGCCCCAUGUCCCCAUAACGACACCACCUCCACCCAUGAUGGGUGGGGACAUGAGUGCGGUUCAUGCAGGCUAUGGAGGAUAUGGAAGCUGGCAUCAGGGACUGAUUUAGACCUGGGACACCAGGUGGGUGCAAUUAUCAGGUAGAACAGAAAACCAGAAGUAGUCCGAACCUCGUAGGCAACCACAGUAUGGGGGAUACGGAGGCUACCAGCAAGCCUGGAACUAUAAUCAGGGUUACUACCCUCCUAGCUAAGGGUGAAGAGAACUCCUGUGACACACCAACUGACAGCAGGGGUUACCAGAGAUGAUUCAGCAUUGACGACCCAGUGUUCACGUGUUUAAACUCCAUGGAUGCACCCCAAAUGGCACAUUAUGCCCUAUAUAGUGCACUACCUUUGACAAGGGCCCAUAGAGUUCUGGUCAAAAGUAGUGAACUUUGUAGGGAAUAGGGUGCAAACUCAUAUCUUUUAUCAGGAACAGGGGUGGGACCUGUGACGUCUACUACUCGUUUGGUCUUUGAAAAUGUGCUCUUGUACAUUGUUUUAAUGAUAAACUAUUUUUGUAUUCUCUUCUA